AUUGAACGCUGGCGGAAUGCUUUACACAUGCAAGUCGAACGGCAGCACGGACUUCGGUCUGGUGGCGAGUGGCGAACGGGUGAGUAAUAUAUCGGCACGUGCCCAGUCGUGGGGGAUAACGUAGCGAAAGCUACGCUAAUAACGCAUACGAUCUACGGAUGAAAGCGGGGGAUCGCAAGACCUCGCGCGAUUGGAGCGGCCGAUAUCAGAUUAGGUAGUUGGUGAGGUAAAGGCUCACCAAGCCGACGAGCUGUAGCUGGUCUGAGAGGAAGACCAGCUACACUGGGACUGAGACCCGGCGCCUACUCCUGCUGGAGGCAGCAGUGGGGUAUUUUGGACAAUUGACGCCAGUCUGAUCCAGCCAUUCCGCGUGCAGGAUGAAGUCCUUCGGGUUGUAAACUGCUUUUGUACAGAACGAAAAGGGCUCUAUUAAUACUAGGGGCUCAUGACGGUACGGUAAGAAUAAGCACCGGCUAACUACGUGCCAGCAGCCGCAGUAA
rnacentral:rRNA from 1 species